CAGCAGUCGCCACGGUAAUACGUAGGGUGCAAGCGUUAAUCGGAAUUACUGGGCGUAAAGCGUGCGCAGGCGGUUUGUUAAGACAGAUGUGAAAUCCCCGGGCUCAACCUGGGAACUGCAUUUGUGACUGGCAAGCUAGAGUGUGGCAGAGGGGGGUGGAAUUCCGCGUGUAGCAGUGAAAUGCGUAGAUAUGCGGAGGAACACCGAUGGCGAAGGCAGCCCCCUGGGCCAACACUGACGCUCAUGCACGAAAGCGUGGGGAGCAAACAGGAUUAGAGACCCCCGUAGUCCCUGUCUCUUAUAC
rnacentral:rRNA from 1 species